AGCUGGUGACCCCUCGUGUCAGAGCAAAAAUUAAUUUGAUAAGACUAGAGAAGCAAAAUUGCUGCACUGGGUAAAAUCCUGCAUGUGUAGCAAGUGAUGGUUGCUUUGAAGUGACCACAGAAGUGGAUCAAGCCAGGAGUUGCAGAACUGAAGAUCCUGAUUUGGACAGAGUUCACAGCCAAGGCUGACCACAAAGAGAACCUUCUUCUGGAACACCUUCAGGAAGAUGUUCGCAGAGCUGGCCAGAGCAAGCUGGACACUUUCACAAGGUACUUUUGUCUUUUCCCUUCCUGAUGAACCAGCCCUUCGUAGUUUGUGGCGGUUGGUAUGGCAGACACAUGCCUUGGAAGAAGAGGUUCAGUUCUCUCCUUCAGAGGAGAAACUUAUUGCCCUCUGGCAAAAAUGGUGUAGAGAAGAUGGGAUUUUUCUGUCAGCAACAGAUCUCUAUGAGUUCUUUCGAUGGGCAAAGCUUUUUGGGUUUUUUACUGAUGUCCUGUACGCCUUGGAUGUUUUUGUAUGGGAGUGCAUGAACUCCAUUUUUCAGUUUGUCUGGGGCCAGGAACGUGUUUUACCUUCUAUCUACCCAGCAUUUCUAAAGCUCUUCCCAGUUUUGAAACAGAGAGCAGCUGUUUUUCAAUGGAUUUCUAAUUGCUAUGGACAGGCUCCGUUUCCACCGUCCCCAGUGGGAGAAGACCCGGCGGGGGAUGAGUGGGGGCUCCCCAGCCCCCCCUGCUCCCCGGCGGGCGGGGGCGAAACUGCGCUGAGCGAAGAAGUUUUUUUUACUCUUUCUCCGGAGCCUGCGCAGACGGAACCUUCUCCUCCCCCCCCUUCUCUCUCUCCCGGGGGAUGGGAGUGGGCGGUCCCGCUCGAACCAGCGCCGUUGGUGCUGCCCCUGCCAGCGCUGCGUACGCCUUCAAGACCCGCCUCACUGGCGCGGCCGCCACUCCAGGCGAUCCCAUCUCCGCCUCUCCAGGCGGUCCCGCCCACGGCUUCACAGGCCUCCCCGCCCUGCCAGUGCCUGCGUCUGAGAAUGCAGAAGAGGCACUUCCUGUGGCUGCUGAGUUGCUAAGCGACGACGACGCAUCUCCAGCUUCCGGCUCAGCAGAGGAGAAGAUCUCUCCGGCCCCUCUGGCCCCUCUGCCGCUUCCAUCUGCCUCCUCGCCACCUCAAGCCGAGACGGUCCCUGUUCAGGAUGGUGCUGGAGANNNNNNNNNNNNNNNNNNNNNNNNNNNNNNNNNNNNNNNNNNNNNNNNNNNNNNNN
rnacentral:lncRNA from 1 species